UGUGAAUGAUGACUUCUUUUUUUUACCCUGACUCUGACAUGGAGGCAAAAAAAACUGAUUUAAUGAGCCUGACAC